AUACGGAGGGUGCAAGCGUUAUCCGGGAUCAUUGGGUUUAAAGGGUCCGCAGGCGGGAAAAUAAGUCAGUGGUGAAAGCCUACAGCUCAACUGUAGAACUGCCAUUGAAACUGUUUUUCUUGAGUAUAGAUGAAGUGGGCGGAAUAUAUCAUGUAGCGGUGAAAUGCAUAGAUAUGAUAUAGAACACCGAUUGCGAAGGCAGCUCACUAAACUAUUACUGACGCUCAGGGACGAAAGCGUGGGGAGCGAACAGGAUUAGAAACCCCGGUAGUCC
rnacentral:rRNA from 1 species